ensembl:lncRNA
UUCUGGAAAUGCUCAGGUGGAGCAACUCCCCAUGCUCUGGGCUCCUGCUCCACCCACUGUCCCCAGAAGUGAACAAAGGUUGCUGCCAGCCCUGCAGGAGAGACUAAUGCUUAUAAAUGCUCAUCAGCCCGACAUCAACACACCAUGCGGGUCUCUGCUGGCGAUUGAGUAUGUGGAGAACUUAGGUUUGACGCAACCUGUCUGCUUACCUCCGGAGAAAACUACAAACUGUAAGGCCUCGAUCUUGCACAGCAUGCCUAACCGUCAUUCUGCAGACAAGUGUGGAUGUUCUGAAUGCCAGGCCCUCUACAGUCCUGAGACAGAUCAGUGCUUACCGCCACCUCUGGUGAAAGCCACCGCACUCCGCCGUCCAAAGGUUCCUCCUACAGCUUCCAGAAAAGCUCUACCUGGAAAAAGAACGAAGCUCCUACAGCAGCUUAAAGUACAGAAGAGUAACACUUUUGGAAAUGCUCAGGUGGAGCAACUCCCCAUGCUCUGGGCUCCUGCUCCACCCACUGUCCCGAGAAGUGGACGAAGGUUGCUGCCAGCCCCGCAGGAGAGACUAAAGCGUAUAAAUGUUCAUCAGCCCAACAUCAACACACCAUGCGGGUCUCGAUGGGUGACUGAGUAUUCGGAAAACUUUGGUUCGCCACACGUUGUCCGCAUACCUCCGGAGAAAACUGCAUGCCGUUUGGCCUCAACCUUUCGGAGCAUGCCUAACCCUCAUUUUGCAGACAAGUAUCGACGCUCCGAGUAUCAGGACCUCUACAGUCCUAAGAUACCGCACCGCACCGCACAUUUCAGCCUUGCUCUAUACCGACAGCUCAAAGGAACACUUUAAAAAGCAGGUAUCCAGGUGGCAAAUGUAAAAAAUUCAUGAAGCUUGUUCGGGACCACAACGUCAGUAUUCCACUUUUUACUUUUGCUGCCCAAUUCUCCAUGGAUGUAUGAGUAUGAGAAUAACUGCACAUUCUUUGGCCUAAUCACAUCAGGACAGCCAGUCUAUUUGCAGAGAAGUACACACAUACAACACCAGAGCUUCUAAUGGCUGACAAAAUUACAUAAAGAAAAAUUCCCCCAGACUUUCACAGGCAGACUUAAGAAAUGGCAGAGGAUGGUCUUCUUACCGAUAGAUGGCAUCUUUGAGCUAACAAAGCACGCCUUAAAGUUGUUAUUCUUUCUGAAAUCGUCUGGGUUACGCAAGUACAAGACGUUGUGUUUAGCAUAACAGUAUGGGAGUGUCCUUGCGCGCAACCGGUAUCUGAAGCUGGUGUAAAAUCAUGCCUCUAUUCAAGACCUGCCAUGAUCAGAUGACGUGGCAAUUAAGCGCAUCACGUGAUAUAUACAGUGGCGCUUGAAAGUUUGUGAACCCUUUCGAAUUUUUCUAUAUAUCUGCAUAAAUAUUACCUAAAACGUCAUAAAACUUUCACAUAAAUCCUAAAAGCAGACAAAGAGAACCCAAUUAAACAAAUGAGAUAAAAAUGAUCAUACUUGUACAUUUAUUUAUUGAGGAAAACGAUCCAAUAUUACAUAUCUGUGAGUGGCAAAAGUAUGUGGACCUCUAAUAUUAGCAGUUCAUUUGAAGGUGAAAUCAGAGUCAGGGUGUUUUCAAUCAAUGGGAUAAUAAUCAGCUGUGAGUGAGCGCACUGUUUUAUUUCAAGAACGAGGAUCUAUCAAAAUCUAAUCUUCACAACAUGUUUGUAGAAGUGUGUCAUGGCAAGGAGAUUUCUGAGGACCUCAGAAAAAGAGUUGUUGAUGUUCAUCAGGCUGGAAAAGGUUACAAAACCAUCUCGAAAGUGUUUGGACUCCACCAAUCCACAAUCAGACAGAUUGUGUACAAAUGGAGGAAAUUUUAGACCACUGUUACCUUCCCUAGGAGUGAAGACCAACAAAGAUCACUCCAAGUGCAAGACCUAUAAUAGUCCGCGAGUUCACAAAGGAGCCAGGGUAACUUCUAAGCAACUAAAGCCCUCUCUCACAUUAGCUAAUGUUAAUGUUCAUGAGUCUACCAUAAAGAGAACAUUGAACAACAAUAGUGUGCAUGGCAGGGUUGAAAAGAGAAAACCACUGCUCUCCAAAAAGAACAUUGCUGCCCGUCUGUAGUUUGCUAAAGAUCAUGUGGACAAGCCAGAAGGCUAGUAGAACAAUAUUUUGUGGAUUGAUGAGACAAAAAUACAUUUUUUGGUCUAAAUGAGAAGUGUUAUAUUUGGAGAAAGGAAAACACUGCCUCUAUUAUCUGAAGCGAAGACACAAUUCACAGGCCUGCCCUGGUAUGACAAAGCUAUGCAACAGCUCGUUCCCUUCUCAGGGAACAGGGUUACCCCAGACGUUCCCUUUCAAAGGGAACUCAAUGUUGCGUUUAGCAUAACAGUAUGGGAAUGAGAAUACCCACUGUCAUACCGAGAGUAUGGCCUGUUCAAAAAGACCCAAGCCCUCGGGUCACUGCAAGACACUCGAGCCUGGGGCAGAAUGAAUAUCCAGACUGUAAUAACGAAUGUAGACAGGCUUUGGACAAAGCCUUUGAGGAGGUGACCGUCCUAGUGGAAUGAGCCCUUAUGCCCAGAGGCGUAGCAAGACCGCGCGCCUCAUAAGCAAUAGAGAUUGCUUCCACUAUCCAAUUAGAGAUGCACUGAUUUGACACAGCAUCACCUCUACUGUCGCAGCCAAAGCAGACCAGCAGCUGCUCCAAAUUACGCCACUGGCCGGAGCGGUGGACAUAAGUACAGAGAGCCCUUACUGGACACAGCAGGUGCAUUCUCUCUUGUUCCGGUGUGAGGAACGGAAGACAGAAAGCCUGCAACAGUACAGGGUGGGCAGCCGAUCUAGGCACUUUAGGAAUAUAAUCCGGCCUAGGAUACAGGAAGGCCUUGGCUAAUCCAGGGGCAAAGUCAAGGCAGGAAGGGGCAACAGAGAGAGCUUGUAGAUCCGAUAGCUCUGCCUUUUAUGACUUCUUUUAAAUUAAUAACAAUUAAUUCCACAAUUCUGAAGGAAAUGCAAAUAAAAACUUUAUUCCCUCCAUUUCAACAAGUUGUUUCACAGUAACUGGUCUCAUAAACAGAAAACACAUUACUCAAAUUAAC